CUUAAAGAACUGAUGAUUGGCAAAUAAUGAUAACGAUUUCGUUAUCAUUGAAAACCUCUAAGCAACGGAAAAGUUGCAGCUGUUUUAUUUAAUUUCGUAUGUUCAUUGUUAAAAAUAUUCAUAAAAAUGUAGGAAUGACGCUAACAUAUUUCAAUAUGUUUCAAUUUUGGUAGGCUAAUUAUGUAGGUACAAUGGUAAGGAAUGAAUAACUAGAACAGGAAAAAGGCAAUCGCUGAUCUACGAAAUCCAGCUUUUUGAAUUAAACAAUGUUCCCAUUUUGACCGGACCGUGACUUUGUAUACAAACAAGUAAACAGACACUCCAUCGAAAAUCACGUUCCUACGAGACCGGCCAUAACUAUCAUGUGACCACCUAUUCUCAAGAAUAAAGGAGGGGCGAAAUAUACCGAAGGGACAGUCAAAAUCAUAGAUAGAAAAUAAACUGAAAACGUCAUGACUAAAAAAGAAAAAGACAAACAAAUAAAUAAUAGUACACAAUUAGAACAUAGAAAAGUUGUAAAACUGUAAGAACAACAAAUGAAUUUCCUCAUUAAAAAAAACAAACUGGACAUUCAAAUGCAAGCAGUUUCGUUAUUCCAUUUUGUUUAGCACAAUACAGAAAAUACUUUUCUCUCUUACAGAACAAUUCCAG
rnacentral:lncRNA from 1 species